GGUUACUUUCUCAGCUGUAACCAGGAGGCAGGGAAGAAGGCAAUGCAGUCCUCAUUCUUUAGAGACUCAACCUGUGUCCCCAGCCCUCCCCAUCUCCUCCCACAACCCCCUCCAAACUCAGCUUGGCUGGGAAAGGAAACUCCCCAGUCUGCUGUGCUCCUGCAAGCUGAGUGUUUGCAGGUGAAUCUACUCCAGGCCGUGAGCGCCCCAGAGGUGGGAACUAUAUCUUAGUCACCCUUGUACUUUCAAGCCUCACAAUGGGACCUGCCCAAAAAAGGGCACUCAGUAAACGUCUUGUGAACGCGUGAAUUGGGCAGCUGUUGGUGUACGUGUUUUGUUUCUGAUGCUGAGACCCUUCCUGAACCGGAUCUCCAUUCCUUCACUGAGCAGGGUUCACACAUAUUUAUGUUGGAGUGCAAAGGCUUCCGAUGCCCGGACAUGUGUCCUCCAAUCUGAGAAGGGAACCAGGGAAGGGGCUGGAGUUGAUGCAUCUUGACUUAAGGGCUGGAGAGUUGGCAAUUUUGGAGGCCAGUGAAGAGCCACGUAGAAAAUGUCCCGCUGCCUGCCAUCAC
rnacentral:antisense_RNA from 1 species